rnacentral:lncRNA from 1 species
ACCUGCUUCUCCCUUUGGGCUGAGGUUUGGGGCCAUCAGAACAGUUGCAUUCAUGGCAGCAGCAGGAUGACCCGGGAGGACAGGAAGUACUGCUCCCUCAAGAGCCACCUGAUUUCUCUCCUCCUGGGGACCAGAGGGUCUUGCUCAGAACCUUCCACUCUCCACAUGACGGUAGUUGGGGGGAAGCCUUGGCUACUCUUUCUAUGAUGCUCAAGAGUUUUCUCCUUAUUACUUUUUAAAUGUGUGUCUCUUUUAGAAAAAUAUAACCUUUCAGUGUCUCUUGGAGAAAAGCACAGCUGCACCACAGCAGGAAGAGAAGCAGAGGAAAGGAAAACAAUUGUCACCUGUUGAAAUGCAUUUCCAGAUCCAGGAUGGACCCUCUACACUCUGGGGUGGUGGCCAUGCGGAGACCAGGCUGGAGCAGCCUGCUGUAGUCGUGGCACGUGAGAAAAGCUCAGCCUCCCUGCUGUGCACAGCCAAUGUCAAGGCCAGCUAUAUCCACUGGUACCGCUACCAGGAAGGAAAAGGGCUCCAGAGGCUCCUCCACCUGGCCAUGUUCCAAUCAAAUGUGCAGUGGGAUUCGGUCCUGGAAGCAGACAAAGUCACCGCCAUAGAGACCAAGGAUGGCUACAGCUGUACCCUGUUGGUGCUGAAGCUGGAGAAGAGCGAUGAGGGCAUGUACUACUGUGCUGCCUGGAGAGCACACAGCCACUCACUCUGCCCUGGUCCCCCAUGCAAAAAGGUCACUGACUCCGGGCCCUUCAGGCCUGGCACCUUCCACAGCGUUUGGGUUUCUGGAGUUGUUCUGGGGUCAGCCCUCAGCAACCAGACUCUGGCGGGCACCCCCUCAGCAGGUAGAGCCCUGGAGGCUAAGGAGCCCCUGGUGCUCAGUGUCGCUCAGACCCAGGGAGCUGUCCAGCCUGGAGGGACUUUUCUACAGAUUGUCAGGAGCAAAUACUUCUGAAGUAUUUGGAACAGAAACUGUGCUGCUCAGUGUAGUAGCCACUAGCCACUAGCCACAGGUGGAUACUCUGCACUUGAAAUGUAGCUUUAUGCUAGUCCAAGCUGAAAUGGCUGCUUAUGUAACAUACAAACCAUUAUUUUGAACAUUACAAUUUGAAAGUUAAAUAUCUCAUUAAUAAUCUCUAUAUUGAUUGCAUGCUUGAAAUAACUUCAGAUAUCUUGGAUUACUAACUAAAAAUGAUCCUAAAGUGAAUUUUACUUCUUUUUUUUAUUUUUUUAAGGUAGCAGCUGUAGCUAUACAAUGUUUUGUUGUUGUUGUUGUUGUUGUUGUUGUUUACAAUACAGUACUAGCAACUUUAAUACUAACAGAAGGUUUGGCUUUUACAAAUCUAAAACAAGAAAAACAGAACCAACCACUCCUAAAGUUACUGAUACCUUGUCCUUGUCUAAUGUUGCUCUUAAAAAUGAAGUUAAAAUAUACGUAUGAGUUAAUGAUGAGUUAAUAUCUGCAGUGCUUCUAAACUUAAUAGGGGCAUGCCACUGGUAUAAACAUUACAAAUUUGAAGGUUGUUAUAUCCUAGGGUAAUCAUGAUUUGUUAUGUUUGUCCUAAAGGUACUUUUAUUAAAU